UUUUUUUUUUUUUCCACAGAAUCCUGGCUCCUUUAUUUUUUUUUUACUAGUUUUAAGGGUGUACUUGCUGCUUUUUUCCUGCAGGCGGAGACAUUGUGUUGGAAAUAACCCGUGAAUGUACCCACAAGCGUUCAGUUCAAGCACAGCAGGACUUUCCGGUUCCGAUUCUGGGUUGCUUUUGCGAGUUUAUGCAGAGGGCAACUAAGGAUAUACACUACACGUCCACUGGAAGCCGAUGGUAAACAGGAGGGUGCCUUCUGAGGUGGAGAAGUGAAGCACAUAGCACAACAUCCUACAACAGCAACUUGAAACCUUUCAUGAGCUCUCAUUCAUAAUUUUCUCAUUGCUUUCCCUUCCCCACUGCAAAUUUCACGUAAAUCAGUUGACUCUAAUGCUUUUCCCCAACUCGAUCACUGGGGAAAUCAGAAGUUUAGAACAAUAUUCCUGCACAGGAGCCGGGGAAUACGGAGAUGCUGACAAAGCAGGGCUAGAACGCAGCAGUAAGGAUAGCAGAGAGGGACAGAAAGCUAUGACCAGCCCUUCCUUUGGCUCCUUGCUCCAGAGAUGGCACCAAAGCACCAGCAUGCAUGUCAGACUUUCAAUAUUAUCAAUUAAUGGCAGGUUGAUCAGGACGAAACUCCAUCUUUACCUCCAUUCUCAUUAACUUCCUCCCCUUAUUUUAUCUUUUGUUUUUCCUGUAAUUGAGAAGGUACUUGUAGUUAGAUUUAGAGCCACAUAGCUCAUAGUGAUCUCAUUUCUUGAUCCCCUAUUAUAUCUACAAAGUUCUUUUGUCCAGAUAAGCUAACUUAUAUGCAUGUCCUGGGUUAGAACUCUGAAAAGCCUCAGAAUGGGUGUGCUUCAACACAAUACUACUAUCUUGACUCACAUAGAUGUUCAUUUAUAAAGAUUCAUUUAUGUUCAUUUUGCGUUUUGUCUUAGAUUUGAUGGAUUACCACAGUGGCUGCACUGGAUUUGAAUUGUGCUUCAAGAAUAUCUCCUUGGGAGAUGACAGAGAGUAGGAGAAGCGUCUCAUCACGUGCUGGCUCUAUGCCCAUAGGCGAAACCAGCUUUCAAUCCCUGUCAGAGAAGCUCCUUUUGACAGUGUGCAGCAGUUACUGCAGAGACUUACAACUUGUCAAGAUGCAGAGAACAAAUGUCUGUGCAGUGCUCAGCCACAGCUGACUCCAAAGCUCCAGGAUGUUGUAUAAGAGGAGGAGACAGGAUUAAAUGCCUGGGGUCAGAAAGGACUGCUAUGAGACACUGUCUUCUGACGUGCCAUGCCUGGUGCAGUGAUAAACUCACAGCCUAUACGAAUGCUUACACAGAACUGCACAAGUUCAAGCCAGUCCCUAUUGCAGCAUCAAGGAGAGAGAACCCCCGAGGCCUUCCCUACUGAUUGAGAAACUGUUAGCAGUUGGUGGUGACUGAGAGGGGUGCAUGCCAUAUGGUAGGUAUGUAAGUAUGCUUGAACACUUGUGGAAUUUUUGAGACAGGUGGUCAAGCCCAGCCAAAAUAUAUGUGUCUGUAUGUGUCUAUGUGAGUGCUUGAUUUCUCGCUUUCUUUCUCUUCUUUUUUCUCUGGCGCACAAAGAGUUAACAAGUUCCAAGCUUUUUGCCUGGCUAGGGAGGGGCCCUUGAGACAGAGAGAAAUGAAGCCUUUUUGGUAAUUCCCUUGCUGUUACCAGUUUUAGUAAUUUUAUCAGAAGUAAGCAGAUUUUAAUGACAGAAUAGCAAAAUAGUUAAAUUUCCAAAGGCCAUCAACUUCUGACCCCCAGAACAGUAAGAGAGUUACAAGGCCAGAGAUCAUCAGUCUUUAGCCUUAUUUCGAUGCUGUGCCCCUCUUCAGUUCCUAAUCUCUUGCUAGGCCUGACACCCCACCCCACCCCCAGCAUGGCACAUCACCUCUCUCAGCAAGUUUUCUCCCUGUUCCAGGGCUUUGGGUCAACAUCCUCUAGGUGCAGUUCUAUAGAAGGUAUCUUCCCUUUCCUCCUCUCACACUCAGAGAGCCUCUCAUUCUUAAGUCCAUUAUAUUCUAGCUCCCCUUAGCUAGCCUCCACUUCUUCAGUAAAUCUUGUAUUCCUCAGAAGAUCUCUAGCCGUCCAAAGUAUGAUGCUGAAUGUUGGUGCUGGGGAUAAGACCUCUCAUUUGUUACUGUUGGAAUAUGCAAAAUAGUAAUUACUUUGGAAGAAUUUUGGCAGAUUUUUACAAAGAUGAACAUUGUCUUAGUAUAGACUCCAAUUAUACUCUUUGGUUGGUAUUGG
rnacentral:lncRNA from 1 species